rnacentral:tRNA from 1 species
AAUUUAGUAAGUUAAUAAAACUAUUGAAUUGUGGUUUCAAAAAUAUCUUUGAUCUAAAUUA